rnacentral:rRNA from 1 species
ACAGCAGUAGCCGCGGUAAUACAGAGGGUGCGAGCGUUAAUCGGAUUUACUGGGCGUAAAGCGUGCGUAGGCGGCUUUUUAAGUCGGAUGUGAAAUCCCUGAGCUUAACUUAGGAAUUGCAUUCGAUACUGGGAAGCUAGAGUAUGGGAGAGGAUGGUAGAAUUCCAGGUGUAGCGGUGAAAUGCGUAGAGAUCUGGAGGAAUACCGAUGGCGAAGGCAGCCAUCUGGCCUAAUACUGACGCUGAGGUACGAAAGCAUGGGGAGCAAACAGGAUUAGAUACCCCAGUAUUCCCUGUCUCUUAUAC